rnacentral:rRNA from 1 species
UUAUGCUAAUAAGAGCGUAUGGUGGAUGCCUUGGCACUAAGAGCCGAUGAAAGACGUGAUAAGCUGCGAAAAGCUUCGGGGAGGAGCAAAUAUCCUAUGAUCCGGAGAUCUCUGAAUGGGGAAACCCACCUGAGCAAACCUCAGGUAUCCUAACGCCAAUACAUAACGUUAGGAGGGGAACCCGGUGAACUGAAACAUCUAAGUAGCCGGAGGAAGAGAAAACAACAUGUGAUUCUGGAAGUAGCGGCGAGCGAAACCGGAAGAGCCCAAACCGGAGUGCGUGCACUCCGGGGUUCGGACCGCGGAAUUGAUCCAAAAGACUUAACAGAACGGCCUGGGAAGGCCGGCCAGAGAGGGUGAAAGCCCCGUAAGUGAAAGGUCGAUUGGCAUGGCGGUAUCCAGAGUAGGUCGAGACACGUGGAACCUUGACUGAAUACGCGGGGACCACCCCGUAAGGCUAAAUACUCCUUAGUGACCGAUAGCGCAUAGUACUGUGAAGGAAAGGUGAAAAGGACCCCGGGAGGGGAGUGAAAAAGAACCUGAAACCAUAUGUUUACAAGCUGUGGAACCACUUUAAAUGUGGAACCGCGUACUUUUUGUAGAACGGUCCGGCGAGUUACGCUGGCUGGCGAGGUUAAGUCCUUAAGGGAUGGAGCCGAAGGGAAACCAAGUCUGAAUAGGGCGAAGAGUCAGUCGGAGUAGACCCGAAACCGGGUGACCUAUCCAUGUCCAGGAUGAAGUUGCCGUAAAAGGCAAUGGAGGUCCGAACCCACAUCCGUUGAAAAGGGUGGGGAUGAGGUGUGGAUAGGGGAGAAAUUCCAAUCGAACCCGGAGAUAGCUGGUUCUCCUCGAAAUAGCUUUAGGGCUAGCCUCAUACAAGUCUUGCGGAGGUAGAGCACUGAAUUUCCUAGGGGGCGUCAAAGCUUACCGAAGAAUAUCAAACUCCGAAUGCCGCGUAGAUGGUGUAUGGGAGUCAGACUGCACGAGAUAAGUUGGGUAGUCAAAAGGGAAAGAGCCCAGACCUGCAGCUAAGGUCCCAAAAUGUGUGUUAAGUGGAAAAGGAUGUGGGAUUUCGAAGACAACUAGGAUGUUGGCUCAGAAGCAGCCAUACAUUCAAAGAGUGCGUAAUAGCUCACUAGUCGAGAGGUCCUGCGCCGAAAAUGUCCGGGGCUGAAACACACUACCGAAGCUCAGGAAUGUACUUGUACAUUGGUAGAGGAGCAUUGUAUACGGGAAGAAGCAGUACCGAUAAGGAGCUGUGGACUGUAUAGAAGAGAGAAUGCCGGAAUGAGUAGCGAGAGGAAGGUGAGAAUCCUUCCGGCCGAAUAUCUAAGGUUUCCAGAGUAAAGCUGAUCUGCUCUGGGUAAGUCGGGGCCUAAGGCCAGGUCGAAAGACGUAACCGAUGGACAACAGGUUGAAAUUCCUGUACCGCGAUAUAACAGAACUGUGGGGACACGUGUGGAGAGCACAAGCCGGGAAUGGAAAGCCCGGCGCAAGCAAGGUAGGAGUCGUACUGGCAAAUCCGUACGGCAAUCCGAAGAUGUGAUGCGUACCGAAAUAAGAGUAGGGAAGAGUGUGAGCCAUGCGUCAAGAAAAGCCGCUAUUGUUUGUAUCGCGCCCGUACCGUAAACCGACACAGGUGGAUGAGGAGAGAAUCCUAAGGCCGACGGGAGAAGCAUUGUUAAGGAACUCGGCAAAAUGACUCCGUAACUUCGGGAGAAGGAGUGCCACUGAGAGGUGGCCGCAGAGAAUUGGCCCAAGCAACUGUUUAGCAAAAACACAGGUCUAUGCAAAACCGAAAGGUGAAGUAUAUGGGCUGACGCCUGCCCGGUGCUGGAAGGUUAAGGGGAGAGGUUAGCGCAAGCGAAGCUUUGAACUUAAGCCCCAGUAAACGGCGGCCGUAACUAUAACGGUCCUAAGGUAGCGAAAUUCCUUGUCGGGUAAGUUCCGACCCGCACGAAAGGCGUAAUGAUUUGGGCACUGUCUCAACAAUGCACCCGGUGAAAUUGAAAUACCAGUGAAGAUGCUGGUUACCUGCGCCAGGACGGAAAGACCCCAUGGAGCUUUACUCCAGCUUGAUACUGGGAUUCGGUAUUGCAUGUACAGGAUAGGUGGGAG